rnacentral:lncRNA from 10 species
GAGGAACCCAGUGGGAGGUGAUUGAAUUAUGGGGGCAGGUCUUUCCUGCACUGUUCUCAUGAUAGUGAAUGAGUCUCAUGAAAUCUGAUGGUUUUAAAAACAGGAGUUUCCCUGAACAAGCUCUCUUUGCCUGCUGCCAUCCAUGUAAGACGUGACUUAUUCCUCCUUGCCUUCCGCCAUGAUUGUGAGGCCUCCCCAGCCAUUCAGAACUCACAGGUACUUUCUUACUUCUCUUCAGUUAUCUUUGGGAGAAAGGAAAGUGACCAUCCUUCUUCCCAGGGCUGCUCUGAGAACAAACACUGCCGGGGGCUGCCUUUUGAGAGAGAGAGAAAGCCAGACCUCUUAAAUUUGUCUUCCACCUUCUACUGACUCUAAUCUCAGCAUCUGUGAAUAGCCAGAGAACCUCUGGCUCCUCAGGUGAGGGUUCCAGACUCCAGAGUCUCCCUUUACCUAGUUCUUGGGAGUCUAGUGCAGCUGAAGACGAGGUACUGCGGAUGAAGAGGAAGACGAGGUACUGCGGAUGAAGAGAAACCCAGAUGAUCCAGGCACAUUUUAUAGACAAGGCCUCAACGACCCCAAAGGAACCUUUGAAAUCACCCUUUUCCUGGGUUCACGACGACUUGUAAACGAUACCAUCCAUCCCUGCUUAUUCAUAGUUAUUAAAUACCAGAAUAAAGAGAUUAGAGCUCAUGAGGUGCUUCGUCCCCAUCACUCGGGCUGCUUGGCUGCAUUUAUGAUGAGAAGGCUCUGGGUGUUUAAUAAAGUAUCUGAUAUGUCUAAUAAAAUCCUCCCAUGGCCCUGCUGAUGUUACUAUAAUAGCUUCAUGUCACAUGCUCUUGUGCUAUUGAGCCAGUACCAGAACAUAUUUUAAAUUCUUAUUAUGUCUAUUUAAUUUUUAUUUAAAGGAAAUUUUCAAGGUUUAAAGCAGGUACCGAGGUACCUAGGUGUGAAGACCUAGAAAUGUGCUGUAAUAUUUAUCAAAAUAGUAAUGGAGUGAUUUAAGGAUAGUAUAGGAAUAAGCAACUGUGCAUUCGUGGCUUAUCUAGUUAUAGAUCUGUACUGUUCCCCUAAGAACUGCAAUUUGUGAAAUAAUGGCUUCUCAUU